UGCAUGUGCAGGCUCAGAACAACAUCAAGAGCUCCAGACCACAGGUAAAACUGCUCAUACACAGGCCUAAAUCAGUCUUUGGGCUGACCAGAGGUGUAGCUCUUCUUCAGGAGUUAGUCUGUCAAAACCAGAUUGUUGUAACGCAAGGUUUAGAAGCCAGUCGAGAGAGUAAUGAGAACUACAGCAAACAGCAAUGUUCCAGGACAGCGCCUUUACAGAACGUUCUGCCUACCUUGACUUCCAUACCUACCAUGCCUUCCAUGAUUCCUGUGGUCAGGUUUUAAGCUAUUUGACACAGUUGUGAUGUCCCCAAGCAGAGGCAUCUUCUUCUGGACUCUGAGGUCUACCAGAGAAUCCAGGGCAGGAGAGAAACACCCACAGACCAUCGCCAGUCCAACACCUUCCACCUGAUACAGGAGGUGCUGGAGGAAGACUGUAGAAAUGCGCCCCUGCAUACCCAAGAAAAUCCUUAGGCACGGCCGCCCAGCAACCCCUCCUGUUGAGAGUGCAGAUGUCCCGCACAUGUCAAAGCUGUGGAACUCUCAAUGUGUAAUAAUAUGAUUCUGCUAUUGGUCUCCAGUAAAAUAUUUACUUUCUUCUCAGGGUGUGCCAUGAUAUAGUCGGCAAUUAUUGUGUCACA